rnacentral:rRNA from 1 species
UACGUAGGAUCCAAGCGUUAUCCGGAAUCACUGGGCGUAAAGGGCGCGUAGGCGGCCCUGGCAGUCGGUGGUGAAAGCCCGUGGCUCAACUGCGGGUCGGCCACCGAUACUCCAGGGCUCGAGUUUGGUAGAGGCAGAUGGAAUUCCGGGUGGAGCGGUGAAAUGCGUAGAGAUUGGAAAGAACACCGAUGGCGAAGGCACUUUACUGGGCUAUUACUAACACUCAGAGACGAAAAGCUAGGGUAGCAAAUGGG